UACAGAGACUGCAAGCGUUAUUCGGAUUCACUGGGCGUAAAGGGUGCGCAGGCGGUUGUGUGUGUCAGGUGUGAAAGCCCGGGGCUUAACCCCGGAAUUGCGCCUGAAACUACAUGACUAGAGCAUUGGAGAGGGUAGCGGAAUUCACGGUGUAGCAGUGAAAUGCGUAGAUAUCGUGAGGAACACCAGAGGCGAAGGCGGCUACCUGGACAAUUGCUGACGCUCAGGCACGAAAGCCGUGGGGGAGCAAAAGAG
rnacentral:rRNA from 1 species